rnacentral:rRNA from 1 species
UACGUAGGGUGCGAGCGUUGUCCGGAAUUAUUGGGCGUAAAGAGCUCGUAGGCGGUCUGUCGCGUCGGUUGUGAAAACUUGGGGCUUAACCCUGAGCUUGCGGUCGAUACGGGCAUGACUGGAGUUCGGUAGGGGAGACUGGAAUUCCUGGUGUAGCGGUGAAAUGCGCAGAUAUCAGGAGGAACACCGGUGGCGAAGGCGGGUCUCUGGGCCGAUACUGACGCUGAGGAGCGAAAGCGUGGGGAGCGAACAGG